rnacentral:rRNA from 1 species
GUUAGGAAUAUUGGACAAUGGGCGCAAGCCUGAUCCAGCCAUGCCGCGUGUGUGAAGAAGGUCUUCGGAUUGUAAAGCACUUUAAGUUGGGAGGAAGGGCAGUAAGUUAAUACCUUGCUGUUUUGACGUUACCGACAGAAUAAGCACCGGCUAACUCUGUGCCAGCAGCCGCGGUAAUACAGAGGGUGCAAGCGUUAAUCGGAAUUACUGGGCGUAAAGUGCGCGUAGGUGGUUCGUUAAGUUGGAUGUGAAAGCCCCGGGCUCAACCUGGGAACUGCAACCAAAACUGCAUGACUAGAGUACGGUAGAGGGUAGUGGAAUUUCCUGUGUAGCGGUGAAAUGCGUAGAUAUAGGAAGGAACACCAGUGGCGAAGGCGACUACCUGGACUGAUACUGACACUGAGGUGCGAAAGCGUGGGGAGCAAACAGGAUUAGAAACCCUUGUAGUCC